AAGAAAUUAUAAAUCUUUGGUUUUCCAUCUCCGCACAGACACAAAAUACCUUAUCACACUGCCUCAUAAAGAUUUUAAGUGUGAUCUUAAUCCUUGAAACCUCCUUCAUCUUCAAAGAACAACAAGACUUUGAGACAGAUAUGUGGGAAUUCACUUAGCCAAGUCCUGCAAUUGUAGUUCUUCUGCAGUGAUCUGCAAACCACAGACUCUGAAAUGAGCAAGGGGUUAUGUGAAUGUUCCAUGUAAGUAUUUAUUUUUAUUUUCUUUAGCAGAAGCUGUCAAAUAAAGCAUCUCCUGCCCUUCCGAGCUUUUGCAGUCUGUGCAGAGCUUCUGCGAGCCAGAGCUUUGCUUAGUACAUUUAAUUAGAGUUUACUUAUUAUGACAGCGCAAAAUACAAGCUCAUUUUAGUCUCGGGAUUGAACUUUGCUGCAUUUUAUUCUUGGUUAGCAUCAGUUGCUUCAUAGUAUUGUCAAGGAGGCUUGUGAGAUCUGGGCAUGCCUGGUGCAGGAGAGGUUAGCAGGUUUAACAAGAAGGCAUUAAAAAAUGUAUUUAAUGGAAUAGCAGCCUGAACUUCAGUAUGUAGCUUAAUUUUAGCAUUGCCCCAGGGUGAGUACUCAAUUUUGACUUUUAAUUUUUUUUCAUUCUAGACUAAACGAAACAGAUGCCUCUCGGUAGACUUCUUUGGUAAACACACAGAGAAUCCUCCAUCCAAUUUUCUUCUCUGGUCAGUUUUGGAAGAGGUGCAAUGCUGAAAAUAUGAAACUUCCUUCAUGAAGGUGACAAAGAUGUUUGGCCCAGGUGCUCUCGACUAAUUGGAGGCAUUUGACCUACCAAGCCUAAAGGAGCCUUCUCACCCAUUAUUAGCUGUCUGAAACUUGGUCUGCUGCAGCUCUAAAUCAACACUGUCUUCUUUUCUUUGCCGGUAGAGAGACAACAGGAACUUCCAGAGGGCAAUUCAGCCCAUCCUAAAACAUGUGGGAAAACAGUCUCCUGCACAUGCUGGUUGUGUCUCUGUAUGCAAAGGGAGACUGAAGCCCUAUGUCCAAAUAGAAACCUGAUUUUUGUUGGCUUGUUGGCCUGAGAUGAAUGUUACCCCCUGUAAGCCAUAUCACUCCCACAGGAGGAAAGAUAACCUGUUUCCCCCAGAGCUCUGCCAGUUCUUGAAAUCUCUCUCUUGGACCUACUGUUCUUCUGAAUAUGGCAAUCUAUAAAUGAUACCAUUUGAGACACAAAACAUUAUGACUUACCGAUAUUUUUUAAUUUUGGAUGGCAAGAUGUACUCUGUAUCAACAGGAAAACAGUGUGCUGUGACUACCAAGCAUGGACACUCAUACACAUGGACUUAACGUAGUGGGCUGCUCUUAUUUUGAAAACUAAAUGAAUCAUAAUGAAUUGUCACUUCCCAUAAAAGUGCUCCACAGAAGAGGUCUUGCCCACAUUGGUCCAAGGCAUGUGGGCGCAAUUAUGCCACCAUCUUCUGAUGUACAGAUGGAUGUAUCAGUUUCAUUCAGGUGUCCUGAAAGAUUGGGCUGUGAGAACUACUGUGCUAGGACACCUGUUUACUUUAGUUCCACCGCUGCAGGUCUGGCUUCAGUCAGAAGAUUGCUCAUGGAAUGGACUCUCUGGUCUGGAGUAGAGAAGUGUUACCCCCUAACGCUUUUCUAGGGUAGCCAGUGGCUGGUGGUUAAAACAGGAAACUCAAUGUAAACUGCUUAUCAUUGACAGCAUCCCGGUGCUGGGGGUCCAUUUCCGAGGCUUUGAAGUGGCCAAACUCUCACCUCAUCUCAUACACAUGGAAAUCAGAUCACCAGGAGAAGGAGCAAGCUUGUAAAUCCCAUGAAGAAGCCAACAGGGCAAGUUAGGAAAUGGUGACCUUCAGUGUAUUAACAGUCGAGUGAAGAGCUCUGUGCUGCCGAAGAGGCUGCAGUAAAAAUGGAGAAGAGGUUGGUAGGUCAAUCCAUUUCUCUCUUUCAAGAGUGAGAUAGCGGGGCUGGCUGACACAUACCAGAGAGCCCUUUGAGCUUGCCUUCCUCACAUUUCAAGAAAAGGAGUUUAUCAGACCUGUGAUGUCUGAGAUAGAUCCUGUCCUGAGCUGAAGCGCACCAUCUACCACAAGCAAGAAAGGCCAUGCCCAUGACGUAUAACUAUGUGUACUCUUGAGCCUAUUACCUAAUAGAGACGCAAGAAAAUGGCCCAUCUGUUUGCAGUGGGCAAAUGUGCUUCAUCUUGAAUUCGCAUUCACAAACGCAGCAACCCGGGGGCCUUUUCACAGCACCUUAAGCAGACUGAAGUGGAGCUGGCGCAUAAUCAGCGACGGAACAGCUGUUAUCCAGAGAUAACAGAGGCUGCAGAUGUGCAUGGGGUCAAGGGAGACAAUGCCGUGAGUGGAAAAGUCAUACAAUGGAGUUCUGUGUAUUUUCUUCAGAUGUGGAGAACAAAAAAGCAGUGACCUUUUGUCUGUUGCUGUCACUCCCUGCCUCACCAUUAAGAUCCCAGGACUGCUGAUUAUUCCUUCUCCUUGGUAGACCAAGCUCACCCACAAAAAACGUGAGAGGCUUCUAAACUUCAGCCAAAUAGACAUCCCAGGCUCUUUGCUUCCAGGAACGGCCUGUGUAAAAGCUUUCAUUCCCUGCCAAGUCUUCAGCCAGAUGUACUCUGCAGGAAAACUGAAGAUAACACAAGAUGGCCAUCUCACCUGCUCCAGUGCUCCGACCAGAUAGCAAUGGCACACAGCAGCGAGGGAACGUGCAACCCCGGUGCCUGCUACUGUACCUCCUCCAUGACUGCAAACAACCUGAACACUCAAAUCACUUUGUGUUUCUCCUACUCAUUUGGCAUCCAUCAAAAGCAUUAAAUUCAUUCAAGUGCUUGGGACGCUGAGCUCCUUUCCUGCCCAUCCGUCUCGAGAGCAGAUGUUCCCAUCUUACACAGCCCAACAGCGGCACCAAGCGGACCUUGGGAAACAGCUGUUCAAGUUCCCCCCCACUGGAUUUCCUAACCACUCCCAGAGUCAUAUUAAACGCAGUACCUGUUUUACUGCUGAAGUUGAAGCAGUUACCUACUACCGGUACGGCCUAAAAAGCCUGAAACUACCAUCUCUCAUGAAGGUUUGCCAGAGCUAGGAAAAACGCAUGACAUGUAAAACGCUGUAUUACUGCAGUUUGGCCAUCUUUGAACAGCUCACCAAUUUGCAACAGGCUCCAAUACUUCUGCAAAAUUACUUUUUGUAAAGACCAAGCACACAACCUCAAGCAAAAAGACAGUUUAUAAGACUCUCUCUGCGUGGCUACAUAUCUGAAAAGAUUCCCAUAAGAGAGAAGAUUGUUUUGCUCUUGAUUACACGUCCCUGCUUUUCUGAAGGUCCAAGCACUAAAGCCAAUUUCCAGGAAUCCAACUAGCAGUCCGCGCUUGAUGCAAUUUCCCAAGAAUCAAAGGCAGUAGUAGGAAAAAGCCCAACCCUCCCCCCCCCCCCAAACUUUCAACAUUAACGGGCUUCCAAGAAUCCCCAUACAAAUGUGUUUUCCAUCGGCAGCCAGAAAAAAGAUGCUGCUUCCUAGUUUGGACAUCAACUGAACAUAAACCUGUGGAGGUGAGCCAAGAUGCAGCGUUCAGAACUAAACUCUGAAAGGUUUCACUUAAUGCCCUUCCUCUUUCUACAGAAAAAGUGGUUCCAGGCAGCAGGAGCACAGCUAAUACUUUUCUCACUAAACCAAGGCUGAACGGAAGUGUCAUCACCAAAGUUUGUUGAUAUAACAUUCAUAAAUCUACACUUCUCCACAUUGUAGCACAAGGCGCUACAGGAACAGCAUUAAGUUAACGUUGGAAUUAGAGUAAUAGAUUAGGAUGAGAUGAACCAAAAUGACUUCAACAAACCCUUAGCAUCAC
ensembl:lncRNA